rnacentral:tRNA from 1 species
GGAGAGAUGCGAGAGUGGUUGAAUCGGGCGGUCUCGAAAACCGCUGUGGGGGUAACUCCACCGAGGGUUCGAAUCCCUCUCUCUCCGCCA